AUCACUAUCCCUUCCCUUUUAAAAUUAUUUCUCCCCCUAAAUCCUUUCGUACUAUAGAGAAACUCUAAAACCUUAAAGAUAGAAACCAAUCUGGCUCACGCCGAUCUAAACUCAAAUCAUGUAAGUACUUAUUAGUCGAACAGACUACAAACUAAAUCUCAUACUCCUUAGCUCCACUUAAUUCAACAUCGAGGUCGCAGACUGCUAUAUAGAUUUGAUCUCACCAUAACAAUUACGCUGUUAUCCCUUAAGUAAUUUUUUCCAUUUAUCAAUAAAUCAUACUAUCUUCCUUAAAAAUUACCAAUCAAAUUGAAGAUAAUCUCUUCAUCUUCCGCCCCAGACAACACCGUCACAUCAUCACUACCUCACUACCAUUACCUCCUAUAACAUAACAGCAUAAAUUUUAAAGGGUCUUCUCGUCCCCUAACCUCACUUUAGCUUUUUCACUAAAAAAUUAAAUUCAAAAAAACAACUAAUACAGCACCAAUCAGUUAAACCCUUCAUUCCAGUUACCAAUUAAAUAACUAAUUACUAUGCUACCUUAGCACGAUUAUAUCAUCGCAACUAUUUACCUAAGCAUUGAGCAGGCCUUACCUUGUAUAAUUCACAAGAAAAUGUAUUUACUAAACAUUCCAACUAAAAUUUUGCCAAAUUCAUUAGUCAUUACUAAAUCAUCAAAUAUAAUACACCCUACUUUUACUAAUUCCAGCAUUAUAUCUGAGAAUAAAAAAUUAUUUCAAACUCCUUGUAAUUAAAAUAAAAUAAAAAUAAAUAAGUAUUAACACACUCCGUGGCUACCCCUAAGCCAAUAUUUACUCUAUAACACAUUACCAAUUUACAACAAAAAAGAGAUUAUCCUCCUUCUACCUUUCAUAACCAGUACCAUAAAUUUGCAAGCAUCUCACCUCUAAAUAACUUUUACAAACUAAUAUCACAACCUUACAAAAAUUAUUUAGCUCAUUUAUGUCCGAGAAUUAAAUAUACAAUCAAAUUUCGCUAAACCCUUAUACAAAAGGUACAAACCUUUAAAUCCUAACAUACUAAUAAAUCUUCAUCAAUACAAUAAACUAUCGUAAAAAAAAAUUUCUAUACUAAUAACCAAACACAUCUCCAAACAAUCACUAAUCUCAACAAUACUAAAAUA
rnacentral:rRNA from 1 species